AUACGUAGGGAGCGAGCGUUGUCCGGAAUUACUGGGUGUAAAGGGAGCGUAGGCGGGAGUGCAAGUCAGAUGUGAAAUACAUAGGCUCAACCCAUGGGCUGCAUUUGAAACUGCAUUUCUUGAGUGAAGUAGAGGUAAGCGGAAUUCCUGGUGUAGCGGUGAAAUGCGUAGAUAUCAGGAGGAACACCGGUGGAGAAGGCGGGUUACUGGGCUUUUACUAACGCUGAGGCUCGAAAGCGUGGGGAGCAAGUAGGAUUAGAUGCCCUGGUAGUCCACGCUGUAAGCGAUGAUUACUAGGUGUCGGGGGACUGACCCCUUCCGCGCCGUAGUUACCACAAUAAGUAAUCCACCUGGGGAGUACGGCCGCAAGGUUGAAACUCAAAUGAAUUGACGGGG
rnacentral:rRNA from 1 species